rnacentral:rRNA from 1 species
UUAAUGCCCAGGAGAGUGGCAGUCCACAUGGACUGUUGACUGGAGAUUUAUCGGUGUGGGAUGAGCUUGCGUCCGAUUAGCUAGUUGGCGGGGCAACGGCCCACCAAGGCGACGAUCGGUAGCCGGCCUGAGAGGGUGAUCGGCCACAUUGGGACUGAGAUACGGCCCAGACUCCUACGGGAGGCAGCAGUAGGGAAUAUUGCACAAUGGGGGAAACCCUGAUGCAGCAACGCCACGUGUGGGAAGAAGCAUUUCGGUGUGUAAACCACUGUCGUGAGGGAAUAAUGCUUGGCCUCGGCCAAGUUGAAUGUACCUCGAAAGGAAGCACCGGCAAACUUCGUGCCAGCAGCCGCGGNAAUACGAGGGGUGCAAGCGUUGUUCGGAAUCACUGGGCGUAAAGGGAGCGCAGGCGGAGAUGCAAGCAGUCUGUACAAUACCGGGGCCCAACCCCGGACCUGCAGACUGGACUGUUUCUCUUGGAUAGUUCAGGGGCAAGCGGAAUUCCUGGUGUAGCGGUGGAAUGCGUAGAGAUCAGGAAGAACACCGAUGGCGAAGGCAGCUUGCUGGGGACUUAUCGACGCUCAUGCUCGAAAGUGCGGGUAGCAAACAGGAUUAGAUACCCUGGUAGUCCGCACCGNAAACNAUGCAUACUGGGUGU